rnacentral:lncRNA from 13 species
CUGUGACGGUAUGAUUUGAUAUAGAGGUGAUGGGUGAUCUUAUGGGGACCUAUUGGUCAGGCAGCGACUGACUUCAGUUUAAUUCUUUGCAGGUCAAGAUUCUGAUUGUUUCCCAGAGAUUAGAGUGGCACGGAACACAGUAUGGAGAACUUCACCUGGGAAAAAACUGAAGAUGAACUGUUCUGUUGCUUUCUGUUCUAACUCACCAACACCAUCAUGGUGUAAGUUUGAUGAAUCAAACAUAUGCCUAACUGUCAACACAACAACUCUCAUUCAAACACAGUUGACAAAUUUGACAAACACUACAUGGAUCUCAUUUCUGACUUUCAAAAGCAUAUCCAGAGGUGAUGCUGGUCUAUACAGGUGUGAAUUACACACGGCUGUGGGUCAUUCUAUCAAUGUUAUCGUCUCAGAGAGAAUUGAAGACACCACAGAUUUAUAUCAGAACAAUGAAACAAACAGUACAGCGAGUCAGAGUGACAGCUUCCGGGAGUGGGUGUGGCCUUAUGUUUACUCCUCGGCUGGGAUUGUGGUGUUUGUCAUCGUGGUGAUAACCAUAUCCAUGCUCUCAAUGCGUGGUUGUAAAAGUGCCUGUCCGGCCAGGAAGUCAAGGAAAGAGGACCAAACAGAGAACCAGGUCAAACAGAUAUACACUACACAUCAACCAGACUGUGACACACAACUAGGUGCUAUCAUCAACCAAAAAGGGUUAUUUGGCUGUCCUCAUAAGAGAACCCUUUAAAGAACCCCCUUUGUUUCCAGGUAGAACCCUUCUGGGUUCCAUGAAGAACCCUUUCCACAGAGGGGUCUGCAUGGAAUCCAAAAGAGUUCUACCUAGAACCAAAAAGGGUACUCCUAUGGGGACAGCCGUAAAACCCUUUUGGAACCCUUUUUGUGUACCUCACAUUGAGCUACCAUACUGCGAGAGUUGGGACAUCUGUUUUUAAGCCAGAGGAUGAGUCUGAGUGUUAGAAUUACAUGAAUAAUUGUACAUUUUCCGGUUUAAAACUGAAGAUUGUUCAUUGGGGCGGCAGCUAGCCUUGCAUUGGGUCAGUAACCGAAAGGUUGCUAGAUCAAAUCCCAGAGCUGACAAGGUCAAAAUCUGUUGUUCUGCCCCUGAACAAGGCAGUUAACCCACUGUUCCUAGGCCGUCAUUGUAAAUAAGAAUGCGUUCUUAACUGACUUGCCUAGUUAAAUAAAUAUUAAAUACAUUUUUUAAAGUAUUGAUGAUGGGUGUACUGUUGCUUUAUGGGUUGUACGCAUGUUCCUACUGUGACUGUCACCCUGAUAUAUUACUGUGACUGUCACUCUGAUAUAUUACUGUGACUGUCACCCUGAUAUAUUACUGUGAUAGUCACUCUGAUAUAUUACUGUGACUGUCACUCUGAUAUAUUACUGUGACUGUGACUGUCACACUGAUAUAUUACUGUGACUGUCACCCUGAUAUAUUACUGUGACUGUCACCCUGAUAUAUUACUGUGACUGUCACCCUGAUAUAUUACUGUGACUGUCACCCUGAUAUAUUACUGUGACUGUCACCCUGAUUUAUUACUGUGACUGUCACACUGAUAUAUUACUGUGACUGUCACACUGAUAUAUUACUGUGACUGUCACACUGAUAUAUUACUGUGACUGUCACUCUGAUAUAUUACUGUGACUGUCACUCUGAUAUUGGCUACUAGGUAGCUACUUCCCACACCGUUGCCGGACAGUAGUGCCUGUCAUACGAGAGCGAACGGUACUGGGUCCCGGUGUUCUUGUUUUUCAUGCGUGCCCUCCCCAUUGAGUAGUAGACUGUAUGUACUGUAUGUAUCAAGGUGACAUCUAGAUGGUUAUCAAUAUUAGUUACUUCUUGUGUAGGCUGCUGCCCUCUUUUAUAUAAAAUAAUUUGCGAGAGAACAUUGCCACGUUAGCUACCGCCUGCAACAUGACCACGAUACCUGUGGCAAUCGGUGCCAUUUAAGAUUCUUAUUAUUUAAACCUUUAUUUAACCUGGCAAGUGAGUUAAGAACAAAUUCUUAUUUACAAUGAUGGCCUGCUCCGGAUGACGCUGGGCCUGUUGUGCACCGCCCUAUGGGACUCCCAAUCACCUCCAGUUGUGAUACAGCCUGGAAUUGAACCAGGGUGUCUGUGGUGACGCUGUGCCACCCGGGAGCCCCGAUAAGGGAUGAGCAUGGCCUUAUUUCUAUUACAGCUUAUUGGAUGACUGUCAUUCAUAUUCCAUUCACCCAGUUCAAUGUAACAUCGAUAGGUUUAGGCUACUACAUGUGAUAGUCAAAUUUUCCCUAUACUCAUGAGGUUUCCUCAACCUAGACUAUGAUUGAAAGCUACACCAUGGGGCUGUUUAGGCUACUGUAGACCAACACUGCAAAACAGUGUGUUUUAAUCAAUUAUUUGGUGACUUGAAUACAUUUAGUAUAGUUUUAUCUAAAAAAGCUAACUUCUUAAAAAUAUUUUGCUAUUGACAUUUUUAUGAAAUUCACUGAGGAAGAUGCUCCUCCCCUUCCUCCUCUGAGGAGCCUCCACUGCAUGAUACCCAGUAGGAAGGACUUCGGCAGGCAUGUGGAUACCACCCCGGUGCACUGGUCCGGCUUAUCGACUCUUCUUGUAGCCCAAUCAGCCACGUAAAACGGUAUUCAGUAGAAACAAAUCUGCCCAAUUAGCUAAUAAUCCAUACACCCACUCUCCCAUACUUCGGUCGCCAUAUUGGGCUGCAGAUACCCAUUCUUGGUAUUACAGAAAUCGAUCAGCUGGGUUGCAUCGAACUUUGAACUUCCACCAAUGAUAAUGUCAGUUUUAACUAUGGCCUUUUGGGUACAACUUUCUUACAGAGGUUGAUUCUUGAGGCCUACAUGAAAUAUUCCACUGCACUGUAAUUAGGUGGAAAUCAGUUGACUGUGAAUGUAACUGUGAUUGAUUGUUUUGUUUAAUGCAUUUUUCUGUGAUUGCGUGUUUCCUAUUUAAACAAAUAAUCAGAUUUGAUUUACUAUAGUAUAAUUUUCACUGCAAUAUUACUCUUCUCCAUUCCUUACUGUAAUCAACCAGUUUCAGUGAAAUCACUGUGAGUGAUGACAGUCCCCUGGCCUUGGGUUUAGUUGAGGUGUUACUGUCGUUGUGCAGGGUGUUUUGCAGUUUACCUCUUGUGCUGGGAUGUGAUUAGGAGGUUUCCUGUGCUACACAAACCAAAACCCCCACAUGCUGCAGCACACGGUUACAUAUCCUGUGAUGAUAUGUGAGAAGCUUUCUGUGUGUGUGUGUGUGUGUGUGUGUUCAUGCCUGAUCUACUGUUCCUGUAUGUGUGUGUGCAUGUGUUAUCCCAGCUAGCACAUAAUGUUCUGAGAACCAUAUAUUUCUUAGACCUUGGUGAGAGCGUGGUUCUGCUAUGGUUAUUUUGCACACGACCUUCCCACAAUGUUCUGGGAAUGGUGCAGGAUACCCAGCUAGCACAUAAUGUUCUAAGAACCAUACUUCAGCAUAAUGUUUUCUGCAGGUUUCCUCAUGUUUAUAUUUAAGGGAAAAAUCCCCCCAAAACCACUCAUUCCUAUAAUUUACAGUGUUGCAUAACACUAAUAUGUGAGAACAAUAUUGUGAAUUUUAUUUUAUUUUGUCAUUGUAAUAAGGUUGGUAGCAACGUGAAAAUCAUUGUGAAAAUCUGUUGCAGCUCAAGACGACUAAAAAACCCACAAUGCAAUGCUCUCUCUAUGGGCUUACUGGCCAGUAGCUAGCUAGCAAACGUAGCUACACACAAUACUACCAAAGUCAAUAUCAGCAUGUGAAGAAGGUAGUUAGCUUUAUAAUUGCCUAAACAAAAUGCAAUAUCAAUUUAGGAGUCUACAAUCUCACCAUGUUUAACCUGCAGAUUGAUGUGCCUCACAGAGUGGAGUCUGACAUUCACAACGACACCAUGCAAUGCACCCUGGACUGAAGAGGCAGACAAAUAGGAGAAAUGUGUUAGGCCCUCUGUUCAAUUACACAUUUCUCGAGGUAGGAAUAUCGCGAAAAUAUGAUGAAUGGCUCAUUUGAGAGAAGACUACCUUCCGUGUUAUGACAUCGGCCAGUAUUAGAAUCUGACAUGUAUGACAGACAUUUUAACGAUCUAAAAGUCAUAUUCCUAUUUACUUCCAGAGACCCUUUAACACAAUGCUACAACAUACUGGCAGAAGUUCUGCCUGCUUGAACGGCAAUAACUCAGAUACACAUGAAAUAACCCAGGGAAUCGAUAGAGCAUCACUCAGAGAUACACAAAAACAAUAGAACAUUCAAAAUGGGUGAAUCUUUUACUUUAAAGUCAUGUUCUCAGAACACGAAGAAAACUUUCCAUAAAAAGCACAAGCAAACAUUAGUUACAUUCUAAGAAUGUUAUUUAAAAACAUGUACAUUCCAUUCUCAACAUCAACAGAACUCUCUCUGUACUCUAUCUUGUUAAGUGUGUUCAGGUGUGUUGACCGCAAUGGGUGCUUGUUUCCUUUAAAAUGGGGUCUGUUUGAAUAGACCAAAAUGGACGGUUUUGUGAACGCUAGCUCCAUCUUGGUGGCGCAGUGGAUUAAUUCCAAAACAUUCAGGGAACCAUAGUAAACGUUCUCAGAACCUCCCCGCAAGCUAAAAAUGGACAUUCCCAGAAAGUGUUUUACUGGUCAGGAAAUGUAUGGCUUCCUUCGCAGAAGAAAUGGGGAAACCAAAAACGUACGUUCCCCCGACUUCCAAGUAACCACAUUUAGUAGAUGUGAGGGUUUAUAUGAUUGCAAGAGUGUGUGCCCCCCCCCCCCAAAAAAAAACCAAACAUAUGCUUAAUAAAAAUGAAUGCAAAUUGUGCAGAGCCCGAAGAACGGGGUUCAAAUCCCCACUCCAACCCUUCAAUCUGUUUCUCCCACCUAUCUGUAUCCUCUCUGUCAAAAUGUAUGCAAUCAUAAAUGUAUGCAAUCAUAUCAAUGUAAGAAUAAAUCCAAGCUAACAUGUUGCUCAAAAAGUGUAUUUUAUGACUACAACCAAAGAGAGAGAAAAUUAGUGAUUGAACUCAUUAGAAGUCUGGUUUUAAUCACGUUGUAUUUUCUAUCUUGUCUCUGAUUUUAGGGGAUUGUGUGUAAUAUAUAUUUUGUGACUUUAUGAUUUUUUCACACUGAUUUAUGCAUGUUUGAUGAAAUCCAAGUAUAUUUCUGUUUUAGUAUUGAGCUUGUGCCAUGAAGUGUAAUGGAUCAUGAUAUCUGAACCGUCAGGCUGACGUUCAAUGAGGACAGCACCCAUUCCCACAUUCAACAUUAUUAAUGGUGGAGAUGAUUAAUGCUGGAAAUUAUUAAUGGUGGAGAUUAUUAAUGGUGGAGAUUAUUAAUG